rnacentral:rRNA from 1 species
AGAGAUGCACUGGGUGUAAAGGGUGCGCAGGCGGUUUUGUAAGACAGAGGUGAAAUCCCCGGGCUCAACCUGGGAACUGCCUUUGUGACUGCAAGGCUGGAGUGCGGCAGAGGGGGAUGGAAUUCCGCGUGUAGCAGUGAAAUGCGUAGAUAUGCGGAGGAACACCGAUGGCGAAGGCAAUCCCCUGGGCCUGCACUGACGCUCAUGUACGAAAGCGUGGGGAGCAAACA